GCAACUGCAAGGUCAAGGCCAAGACAGUGUAGGCUGAAGCCAGCUGGAGGCCAGGCUGCCAGGGACUCCUUGGCAGGGCACAGAGUCAGGAUAGUCAAGAUGGGGGUGGUGACUCUAUGUAGGAUUCCCAGUUCCCCUGACUUUUUGUCUGUCCUGAUGCAGAAACGCAGAGAGCCUUGACCACUCUGUGACCUGGCCAGCUACAUGUUUUCCUCGCAGCACUGAACCCCAGCCAGGGCCUUGAACAUUCCCAGGAACUGAUAAAGAUAUUUAGGCUACUCCCCAAAAUACUGAGAAAACCACCAGCCCUGGCCCUGAGCUACACUGAGGGCACCACAGCUUCCUCCACACCAUCUGUCUGUGGGUUCCCCUAAUAAAUGCUUUUUUUAAAAUUUUGAGUAUUGAACUCAGGGCUUUUACCGUGAACUACCUCCCCAGCCCUUUUUAUAUUUGCUAUUCUAAAACAGCGUCUCACUGACUUUCUAAAUUGCCCAGCCUGGGCCUCAACUUGCGACCCUUUGGCCUCAGCCUCCCUGAGUUAUGGGAUUACAGGUGUGCCACCACACUCAACCCUAAUAAAUGCUUUAGACUGGGUCGCUCUGGUCUCCAGAGGUCCUUUCUUUAGAAUCCUAUCUGGUCUCAGCUUGGGAAGGUUUCAGUUUCUCCCUUGUGCAAAACCCUCUUGCUGCUGCUUUUGGGGACAACUCCAGCCUCAAAAUGAGCAGGAAAAGAACACUAUGUCACAGAGGCGAGUUUCAUUUUCCCUCUGAAUCAUCUCUAACUUUGUUUCCCUUGUUAAACAUAAAUCAGAGCACUCCCUGCUCAAAGUCCUCUGCCAGCUGCUCCUUAGCUCACUUGGAAUAAAAUCUAAGAUCUACAACAUUCUCUCCUCACCUUCCUUCCUCCCUUUCCAGCUGUACAUGUGUCAUGAGCCACAGGACAAUGCCACUCUAGGAGAAUCAUGGGUGUAACUGCGAGGUCAAGGCCAAGACAGUGUAGGCUGUUUCUCAGGUUCACAGAGUUCCUGCUGUUUCUCAGGUUCAUGGAGCUCCUUUCCACCCGGAGGCUAAGAACCCCUCCUUGCUCCGGCAACACUCCCCAGGCGCAACAGGAAGACAGGCACAGAAGCAUGUUGCGAGUACUUAGCAUCCACCCGAUGCUUAUGGUUAGGGAGACAGAAACAUCCUCGAAGAAGCAACACGUGAAGAAAGCCUUGGUCCUCACAGCCAUCCUGCUGGGAGCUGUUGAUGACACAGUGGCCACAAGCACUUGGCAAGAUAAAACCUGCAAAUGAUCGGAUGUGAUGGCCUGCCUAGGGCAAACCCAGAAGGAGUGCUACAGACCUGCUCUUUGACACAUGAGCAUGUGGGACUGUCUUGGAAACAGAGGUGGCGGUGGCAUAUGUACAUUUGAGGGUUCCCCUCAAACUCUCAAGAGGUCCUCUGACUCUUAAACCUAAGCCAGAUGAAUAACACACUGGUAACACCAGCCUCCUAGGAGGCUGGGGCAGAUGGAUCACAAGUUCGAGCCCUGUCAUAGCAAUCUAGCAACUUAACAAAACUCUGUCUCAAAACUUAAAAGUUAAAAUUUUAAAAUUUAAAAGGACCUUAAAAUGUAGCUCAGUGUAAAGACUGCAAACAAAACAAUAAGCAAAGCUUGGGCUGUAACAGGUGGUAGGGUACAGCAGAGUGGGAGGCGUGUGGCCCAGGAUGGCAGGUAUGAAGAAAGCAGAGUACUGUACGCCGUGACCACUGGAAGCUGUGAAGGGCAGAGGAUGGUGACCGCGUCAUAGGUUGGCAGCAAAGUGCGUGGCCUAUGUCUUGGCGUGCAAGAUGGCGCUGUGUUGGCUGUGUCCUGAUUACCGCCGCGUACAGCGUACUGAGCAUGGACUAUGUACUGCAUGCUUACGCAUCGAUCUCACUGAACUUUUUGGUACAGCCCAGAGUGGGCUCUUGUAGGCAGAGUAACUGAAGCCCAAGAGGUCACUUGAGACUAAUGCCAGAGCUGGGCAAAGGUAAGGGGGAAACAGGGGAAAUGAAGGCAUGGAGAGGCUAUUUCAGAGGGAGCAUCUUGGAAAUGUGACUUGGCAGCUACAACCUGGAGUGCGGGUGGGAUGGGGUGGAACGUGCUGCCCAUUCAGAGGUCAGGAGAGGCGCCAGUCUGCAGAGAACGAUGCAUGGCAGGGCCAGGACAGAAGCUCCUUACCACCAUCCGUCACAUCUCUCUAGCUGCCCUGUAUCUGUUACCGAGCGUGGUGCCAUCUCCAUCCCAUCCUCACCUCCCAUAGAAAUGCACAGCCUUCUGUGCACAAUGAAUGACUACUCAGUCAGUGUUUUCUGAUGGCAUCGCACAAGAUGAGGUCACCUCUGGGCAGCACAGAAGCGUGGAAUCAGAUGGUCUGCAUCUGAAUCUCAGAAUCUGCCACUUCUUAGCUGUGUGAUCUUAGGUGAAUGGCAAAACCUCUCUGGACCUCAAUUUCCACCUCUGAAGACUAGGGACCAGCAAUAGGAUCUCCCUCAUGCAAAUAUCAUGAAGAUGAAAUGAGGGUUAGAUUUCAGAAUUACCACUCUGGCCGGGGAUUUAGCUCAGCAGCAUACCCACCUGCCUGGCAAGCACAAGGUCAUGAGUUCCAUCCUCGGUACCAAAAAAAAAAAAAAAAAAAAAAAAAAACCACCCAAAAA